rnacentral:rRNA from 1 species
UACGAAGGGGGCUAGCGUUGUUCGGAAUGACUGGGCGUAAAGGGCGCGUAGGCGGCUCUUUUAGUCAGGCGUGAAAGCCCCGGGCUCAACCUGGGAACUGCGUUUGAUACUGGAGGGCUUGAGUGCGGGAGAGGAUGGUGGAAUUCCCAGUGUAGAGGUGAAAUUCGUAGAUAUUGGGAAGAACACCGGUGGCGAAGGCGGCCAUCUGGACCGCAACUGACGCUGAGGCGCGAAAGCGUGGGGAGCAAACAGG